rnacentral:rRNA from 1 species
UGGGGAAUAUUGGACAAUGGGCGCAAGCCUGAUCCAGCCAUGCCGCGUGAGUGAAGAAGGCCCUUUGGGUUGUAAAGCUCUUUCAGCGGGGACGAUGAUGACGGUACCCGCAGAAGAAGCCCCGGCUAACUUCGUGCCAGCAGCCGCGGUAAUACGAAGGGGGCAAGCGUUGUUCAGAUUUACUGGGCGUAAAGGGCGCGUAGGCGGACAGUCAUGUCAGAGGUGAAAGCCCCGGGCUCAACCUGGGAACUGCCUUUGAAACGGGCUGUCUUGAGGACGGGAGAGGAUGGUGGAAUACCCAGUGUAGAGGUGAAAUUCGUAGAUAUUGGGUGGAACACCGGUGGCGAAGGCGACCAUCUGGCCCGUAACUGACGCUGAGGCGCGAAAGCGUGGGGAGCAAACAGGAUUAGAUACCCCCGUAGUCC